UCCAGCGUAUUCUCACAUUGGGAGGUCUGGCUAACACCCAGGGGUGAUAGAAGGAGAAGGGGAUCUCCACAGAGCCACCCAUGGGGGCCGAGAGGGCCGUCCAGGGCACUCACCAGCCUGCAGGAAUACUGGCAGCGGCAGCAGCAGGGGCAGCAGCAGGGUCCGACCCAUGGCCUUGCUCUCUUCCAGGGCACAGGGAGACCAGCAGAGCCGUCCAGGCAGGAGAGGGGCCCUGUGGAUGGGCUGCCUGGGGAUUGAGGGAAACUGAGGCAUGGGAUCUUUAGGCUGAACUCAUCCCAACUGGACAGAUGGGCUGAAGAGAGGACAAGGGACCCCCUGGCUGCCUGGGCAGGGCCUCGAGAGGGUGGCCUGCCCUGCCUGGGGACAUGGCUAGAAGGUCACCUGCUUACUGGACCA